CCUACGGGUGGCAGCAGUGAGGAAUAUUGGUCAAUGGACGAGAGUCUGAACCAGCCAAGUAGCGUGAAGGAUGACUGCCCUAUGGGUUGUAAACUUCUUUUAUAAAGGAAUAAAACGAGGCACGUGUGCCUUUUUGCAUGUACUUUAUGAAUAAGGAUCGGCUAACUCCGUGCCAGCAGCCGCGGUAAUACGGAGGAUGCGAGCGUUAUCCGGAUUUAUUGGGCUUAAGGGGUGCGCAGGCGGAUUUUUAAGUCAGCGGUCAAAUCGUGGGGCUAAAUCCCACCCAGCCGUUGAAACUGGGGAUAUAGAGUGUGCGAGAGGUAUGCGGAAUGCGUGGUGUAGCGGUGAAAUGCAUAGAUAUCAAGAGGAAUACUCAUUGCGAAGGCGACCUACUGGAACAUUACUGACGCUCAUGCACGAAAGCGUGGGGAGCAAACAGGAUUAGAUACCCUAGUAGUC
rnacentral:rRNA from 1 species